rnacentral:rRNA from 1 species
UACGAAGGGGACUAGCGUUGUUCGGAUUUACUGGCGUAAAGCGCGCGUAGGCGGAUCGCUAAGUCAGGGUGAAAUCCCGGGGCUCAACCUCGGAACUGCCUUUGAUACAGCAAGUCUUGAGUUCGGGAGAGGUGAGUGGAACUGCGAGUGUAGAGGUGAAAUUCGUAGAUAUUCGCAAGAACACCAGUGGCGAAGGCGGCUCACUGGCCCGAUACUGACGCUGAGGCACGAAAGCGUGGG